GUUGGAAACAACCCUCAAUGCAACAGUGUUGGAAGGUGGAGACUUUGGGGAGGAGUUUAGGUCAUAAAGGCUUUGCCCUCAUGAAUGGAUUAAUGCCACUACAAAAAGGGUUUGCAGGAGUAGGCCCACUCUCUCUUGUUCUUCUGCCUUCUGACAGGUUCAUUGCUAAGGAAUGGAUUGAAUCAGUACCUAAACCAGCUGACAGGGAUGAAUAAAGAAUGCAUCUUUUGCCAAGUACUGGGUAGAAUUUCCUUGGAGAGACUACAGAAGUGUGAGCAAUUUGGCUCUGUUCAUUACAAACAGUGUCUAUGGCAGACAUAUGAAGACCACAACUCCCUCCUUGAUGGAACAGGACCCUCGCCCCAGAGUGAGAAAACUGACGCUCAGGCAUCGAUUAGGCAGGGAUGACUAUGUAAGUUAUAGUCUCUCUGGGCCUUAAUUUUGUGGUCUAUAAAGGAAAGACAAAGAAUUGAGAAAAUUUUUGCAAAAUAAUUUAUCUUAGUGUCUUUGGUAUACUGAGUGUUUUAGAAGAAGUUUACCAGUUAAUGGUUACGAAAAUUACAAUGUUAUCAGUAUAUUUAGGACAUUCAUUCUGCAACUCAAUAGUAUAUGAGGAGGCAAGUUCUAGGAGACUUGCUUCGAAGUGAAUUACUUAGCAUUUCUCCUGCCUUGAAUGCCCUUCCUCUUCUCUAAUCUAACUAUCACCUUUCCUUUAGGGCUCAGUUCAGAUCACACUUUCUUCACUAACUCCUUCCUAUCUCAGCUUUGUGUCUCCUGUGACACAGGUUCUUUGGAAUACCAGACCCUCAGGCUGUUAAUAGAUGAUUCAGGAAAAAGGGCCUGCGAACAAAAUGGUUUCACAUCAUUAGGUUCUGCAAAGUUAGACAGGUUUAACAUGCAUUUAUUUUUAAAGCCCAUGAUAUGCCAAUGUGUGCUGUGAAUCCCCAUGAGGGGUGAAGGAUGCAUUUUCCCCCAAACUUAUUUGAGCAACAUCCUUUGAUUUCAGAGAGCAUGUCUCCAGACUAAUGUUUCCGAGAAUACCCACUGUGAAAUCCUAGCCUAGCCCUCUCAUUUGGAACAUGAUUGACGCUACCUUGCAUUGUGUAUUUACAUUUAUAAUAUAUGGAAUAGAUUCUCUCAAAGCAGAUUCUGAGUGUCUGAAUCAUCUAUGUCUUCACCAGUGCUUGCACAGACUCUGGCCUGCAGUAUUUAAAGACAGAUGUUUGUUUUUUAUAAUUGUGGUAAAACACA
rnacentral:lncRNA from 10 species